GCCGCUGGUUGGCUCACGCGCCGUCCUCGCCUCCAAUCCCCGGUGCCUGUCCUAAUUUCCUGAUCCAGAGAACCUGCCGCCCCAGCAGCUGUGCGCUCGCUACAGUCUUUAGUGUACCCUCCCGGCAGCCGCCCACAGUGAACGCGGCGGGAGCAGUUAGCGUUGAUGCAACUAUUGCUGCGAGGGUCCUCGCCUCCCCAUUCUCGGGGCUCGCAGCUGGCCGGCGUGGGGUGCAGCUUCCAGGGACAGCGCACGUCUUUGUCUCACCCUCUCCUGCACCCCUAAGAGAGGCUGGAUUUGCAAGAAAGAACAAAGAACAGAAGGAGAGAGGAUUGAAUGGUAGAAACACUAUUGAAAACAAUAUGUUUAGACAAUCUACAAAGGUUGUGGAAGAUGAUCCCUUCAUCCUUAUACAGCAACUUUAUAGAACUGGCCUGUCUAGAAGGGUAGUUUUCUACACGUGGAAAAAAAUAACUGAUUUGCAUCCUGUGAAAAGAAUGUCUUGAAUUUGCCUGUUGGCUUUUCUCUGAAUAGGUUCAAAGUGCUCUUCAAAUAUGACAUCAUUACUCCCUGGGAGGAGACUGUGGACUGACUCAAGAGAACAAUCUCAUUUUAGCAGUUAGGAGGAGCUCAAGCACAAAGCUGUGCCCUCACUGAGUCUAUGCAAAGUGUCCCCAAAUGGUUUGAACCCUAAUGUUCACACACAAGAGAAUAAGCAUCAAUACUUAACAAGGCUAAGUGAAUUCUAAGGGAGACCUCCUGAUGAACUCCAUGCCUCAUGCUUAAAAAAGGUGCACUGUAAAUUUUGAUAGAUUCUUACUUACUUCUCCCAAAUGGCCAUUCUUAGAGUUGAUAUUCAUUUAAUACUUUUUUUCCUCAAGCAAGACAAAAAUAAAAUGAGGAAAAACCACGGAUACCAGGUCAUAUUUAUGUUACUAUGACUUAGCACCAAACUGAUGCCCUGAUGAUGGUAAAAGCUGGAGUCUUACAGGACUUUCUGAGGAGGGGAGUGAAAGCAUUCUUUCUCUCCGCUGUUCUGAUUAUGAUUUUGUAGUAAAGUACAGUAGUUAGAAAUUCUGUUAACGUAAAGGAGGAAAUGAAGCAACAGUCGUAAUUUGCUGUAGUUAUAACUUCUCUUUCUGUUUUUGCAAGAAAAUUUUAAUCACAUCAAGUAAAAAGUUUCUUAUUUUCUCUUUGUUAAAUCUUCUCUUGGGCCGGGGAUUUAGCUCAGUGGUGCCGCCUUCUGCCUAUCAAGCACAAGGUCCCAAGUUUGAUCCCCGGUACAAAAAUAAAAACAAAUUCUCUCCCCCCCAACCUUGUUCAUCCUGCUGGUUGGUUGUCUUAAGAGAUCUCAGGAGGCUCCGCCCAUGAAAAAAGUUCAUAGGAUAUGAAGAGAAAUGAAGCUGUGAUUUGGGAAUCUUAUAUCAGUUUUUCAAAUCAAGUUUAUUUCAGGAGAUGAUUCAAAGGAGAUAUUAUCAGAAAUAUUGCAACAGGAUUAUUUGAAAAUUGAAGGGGAAAACAGGAACUAUUUAUGAGGUCAAAUUCUCUUCCAAUUUCUUUUACCUCUGAUAUGAGUACCUUCAGUUUAUUUCAACAAACAGAUCUGAUACCCUGUCGGAGAGGGUAGCUAUUCAUUAGCCUUUCUUUUCUCCCUUCACUCCUUUUCUUCUUCUUUUUAAAAUUCUACUUUAAAAUUAGUUAUUAUUUUUGAUGGAUAAAUUAUAAUUGUACAUAUAGUCAUAUGGUAGAGUGUUUUCAUAUAUGUAUGUAACAUUGCAUGAGUAAAUCAAACAAAAUAAACAUCACCUCACAUAUUUUCAUUUUUUAUGGUGAGACAUUUGAAAUUCAAUCUUAGUUAUGUUAAAACAUGAAAAUAUAUCAUUAUUAACUAUAGUUACCUUUUUCUAUAGAUCUCAAAACCUAUUCCUCCUAUCUAAAACUUUGCACCCUCUGAUCAGUAACUCCCCAUUUCCUCAGUCCCCACCACCCCAGCCUUUUGAUAUCUGUAAGAAUGUUAUUUUCUUAAUUACCAAAGUAUCUCUUCUAGGAAACAUUGCUGGCCAUAUAAAUCUUGCUCAGCUAUAAAUACUUGUCCUGUAUUUAGACUUGGCAGUGUUCAUACUGGGUUCAGAAGCAAAGCAGAGAGUCGACAAUUCCUUUCAUGCAGUUAAAUGGAUUUUGGAAGGGCUGUUUGUGUUUUUCUACUAAAAUACUCCCUUGUUAAUUUUUAAAAAUCUUCUUGAGGGUAUAGUGGGAAUCUUUGAUUUAUUUGGACUGAAUAAGUGACUGUGAUUCUUUGUGGCAUGAAUUUAUAAUUCCACUGCCAAAUUCAUCUUCUCACCUCUUCUUGUUGUACACAUUAUUCCAAGUUUCAGUGUCUUUCUUUCCAAAGGCUAAAUAGAUGCAUUAAUGUGGGCAUGCAGAACCUCUUCCCUCCACCUAUGAGCUCCUUGUCCUCUCUUUCCACACAGAACCCCCUGCUAUAGUCAUGAGUUUUCUCAUACUUACCUCAACCUUGAUCUCUAGUGUUAUGUGGGAGGGAGCCUGUGAAAAUUAUUGUUAUGAUACACUUGUCUCAUUCAGUAAUGUUGGCAUCACAAAGGCAUUACUCUUUGUUUAUCAGAUCACUGUGUCUUUCUUUAUUUAAUUUUGACCUUUUCUUCAACUCUACAGUGUUGACAUUGCUAUAAUGUUGGCUCCCCAGCCAUAGAGCCUACCCCACAGUAGCCCCAGCAUGCACUUGUAGGCCCCUUUCAGUUAUUGUAGAUCGGUAAAUUAAUUAGAUAUCUUGUAGGUAGUUAGGGCUGGCCCUCAAGGAGCCAACAUGGAGAACAAUUGAGGCAUGUUCACUGGUUAGCAUUAUAAAAAAGAAAAGAGGUAUUACUUCCCCUAGAGAUGAAUAGCAGUGAUUGAUAUUCUAAAUGGAGAAAUUCCUUGCAUGUGACUUGUUUUCCCAUUUGAUCCCCAUUUAAUCAGUAUUACCUGGGUGACUGUACUUGUAAUCUUACUGGUUGGUCAUGGUUUUGUCCCCCCUUGUAACUUUCCAUUGGGUCUUAUAGUUUUGUCCCACUUUGUACCCACCUCAUCUCAUAGCUUUGGCUAUAAAACACCUUUGAAGAGUGGGGUUGGUGGGAAGCCCAUUUUCAGGUUCUCCUUCUGUCUCUCUUAGAAGCUAUCUUCCUCUCAAUAAAUUUUUCCUGCCCUUAAACUGUUGUUCCUAGAACUCAUUCUUCUGUUUUAGAGAACAUGAGCUUGUGUUUCAGAAUCUAGCAGGUUUGGGAGUUGCAUCUAU
rnacentral:lncRNA from 1 species